rnacentral:rRNA from 1 species
GCUUACGGCCACACCGGCCUGAGUACGCCUGAUCUCGUCCGAUCUCGGAAGCUAAGCAGGGUCGGCCUGGUUAGUACUUGGAUGGGAGACCGCCUGGGAAUACCAGGUUCUGUAGCUU